AAAGGUUAUGUUAUAUAUUAAAUUGUUUUUUAUUUUGUAUGUGUAGUAAAAAAUAAGUGAGAUUUCAUAUUUAUAUUUAUGUGUAUAUAAUGUGAUCACUUCUAUAGAUGAAAGUAAUUUGAAGUGUAAAAUGUUUCAUAUACGUCAAUAUACUCUUCGGAGUUCUAUUAAAUUUUAUCAAAAUUUAUUACAAAAAUGGAUACAUAAUUCCAAUGAACAUCCAUCAGCUGGCCUAAUUAUCAUUGGAAAUGAAAUACUGAAAGCACGGGUAAAGGACACUAAUUCUCAUUAUGCUUGUAGUUUAUUAUAUAAAUGUGGCGUUAAGGUAGAAAAAAUAUCAGUUAUAAGCGAUGAUGUAGAAGAAAUAAAAGAAGAAAUCAAGAAGUUCUCUGAAAAAUAUAAUCAUGUUAUUACAUCGGGUGGUAUUGGACCAACUCAUGACGAUGUUACAUAUGAGGGACUUGCUAAAGCUUUUGAUGACUCCUUACACUAUCAUCCGGAACUUGUUGAAAUUAUAAAAAACCAAUUUGAUGUAAUAAGUCCAACAUCACCUAAUUACAAAAUGGCUUAUAUACCAACAAAAGCAUCUUUAAUAUUUGGGAAAAGAAAAAGCGUGAGAUAUCCAUGCAUUAUGUUAAAAAAUGUGUAUAUAUUCCCUGGGUCGCCAAUAUUCUUUGAAAAAUCUUUUGGAAUAUUGCACAAGGAAUUAUUUUCAUCAAAUAGGUACUUUGCAAAGGAUGAAAUAUAUUUGAAUGCGAAAGAGGAAUUAUUUGCAGAUGCCUUAACACUUGUUUCUAAAGAAUUUCCAAAUGUUUCAUUUGGUUCCUAUCCUGUAAGCAAUAAUAGCUACUACAAAGCAUUUAUUACCAUAGAAAGUGACAGUAUUGAACAAACGAAAAAAGCAAAACAACAACUUUGCAAUCUUAUUGAACCAGAUAUUUUGGUGGAAUACGAUAAUAAUUCACAUAUUGAUAGUCUUACAAAAUAUAAAAACUUUCUUGAGAAAUGUCAACGAUCGUUUAUUUAUGAAGAGACCUUGGAAAAAUUAAUAAAAACUUAUCAACAUCAAUCUGAGAAAAUAGCAAUUAUUUUUAAUAGUAAUAUAGAAACACAGAUAGUCAUACAUUUUGUUCAUUUGGCUCACAUAGUAUUACGCGUGCACGAUAAAUUACAAAUUCUUUGUUUCAAAUUGUCCGAACUUUCUAAAAACGACGAACAAUUAAUCGAAGAUAUUAUGAAAAGAUAUAACGUAAAUAUUUGCAUUUUAGAAAGUGAUCUUUUGCAUGCUAUGAAGAAAUUAAGGUCAGUAAAACCGCAAUUAGAAAUCUUAUUAGUCGGAACGGAGGAAAAGAAAUUUAGUGAAGCAUUGGAAUGUCAAUCAAGAAAUGAGGAGGCUAUUGGGCAAUUAGAAAUAACAAAUCCUUUACAUAAAUGGACACAAGAAGAUGUACGGAUCUUUGCUAGAUUUCUAUCAUUGCCCUUAACAUGAUCUCAUGAACUUUCCAAGAUGAAAGAAGAAACGUGUUUUACUGAAACAUCUUUAUACAUAUUUUUGCAGUCUUGUAUAUAAACUCGUAAAAUAUGAAAAUAUUUCGUUAAAGUGAAAGUAAUACAAAUAACAGAAAGCAGAGAAAAAAGAACGAGUUUA
rnacentral:misc_RNA from 1 species